rnacentral:rRNA from 1 species
UGGGGAAUUUUGGACAAUGGGCGAAAGCCUGAUCCAGCAAUGCCGCGUGUGUGAAGAAGGCCUUCGGGUUGUAAAGCACUUUUGUCCGGAAAAGAAAUCCUUGGCUCUAAUACAGUCGGGGGAUGACGGUACCGGAAGAAUAAGCACCGGCUAACUACGUGCCAGCAGCCGCGGUAAUACGUAGGGUGCAAGCGUUAAUCGGAAUUACUGGGCGUAAAGCGUGCGCAGGCGGUUUGCUAAGACCGAUGUGAAAUCCCCGGGCUCAACCUGGGAACUGCAUUGGUGACUGGCAGGGCUAGAGUAUGGCAGAGGGGGGUAGAAUUCCACGUNUAGCAGUGAAAUGCGUAGAGAUGUGGAGGAAUACCGAUGGCGAAGGCAGCCCCCUGGGCCAAAUACUGACGCUCAUGCACGAAAAGGCGUGGGGGAGCAAACAGGAUUAGAUACCCCUGGUAGUCCACGCCCUAAACGAUGUCAACUAGUUGUUGGGG